UGUAGUCAAUGUUGGAACUUUAACAAGAGUGGAUAAAAUUUUCUGCCAUCAGUUAGCUAUCCGAUAUCACCCGAUGGUUAUACCAGACAGAAAAGAAUACGACAUCAGUCACGACUUCAAAAUUGGGGCAUACUGUAUUGCAUUUUUUUAUUUCACUACGAUUAUCCCGGUUAAUUUGUCACCUGGAUGCAAUAGUUCAGAAGAGUGGAAAACGCUAUAAAAGUAUUAUUAAGAUCAAUGAAAUUACAGCAGAUGAACUAAACUAGAUAUCAAUUGAAAACUAGAAGUUACAAAAUUAAACAACUUGGCAAUAUCAAAUAUGGUUUACGAAAACGAUGUACGUAAUAAGUAUUUACAACAAAUCUUUACAAAAUUAUUCGUUAGACAUAAAGACACUUUUCUUUGGAAAAUAUAUAACUAUUUUUGCUAAACUUAACGGUUAUAAAUUUCAGAAUAAUGAACAUUUUAUUUAUAAGAAGCAUCAUUUUUUUUGUAAAAAAAAAACUUAAUUUUUUUUUAAAUCGAAACACCUAUUUUUUAUUUGAUUAAUACGUAGAAAAUAAUAAUCGUGUUUAGUCGCCAGUUUUACUCUAAGAAUCGAUGUCUUACUCAAUUUUGACAAAACUGGAGAUUACACGUUCAGAAUGGAAACAUCUCAUUAAUAAGGAACGGGGCUUUUAAAAAUCACAGCAAAGUACAAAAAACGAAGAAAACGGUCAACGCAACGGAUUUACGUCGGUCACGGAAACGACGUUUCGGAAUUUUAAUCACUUUAGCCGACUGAUUUAUUAGAAAAGAAACGAUUGUAAUGAUAUUAUAUUAUUCAAAUGUACAAUUCUUGAUUCGUUAUGUUCCAUAGUCCCAAUGCUCAAAUGACUCCUAUUAUGAACAUUAAUUUUGAUAUAUAAAUGUUUUUUUUUAAAUUUUAGACGUACUCGUGUGUAGUAUGACUUACCAGGUUAGCAGACAGUGAAAAUUAAUUUUGCAAAUCUAUGGCCACUCGAAUAUUGUUAUCAGAAUUAGGAUUAUACCGUCGUUUUUCUUAUAUACCAGCCGGUAUGUUUUGACCAGAAACCGGGUGUGUAUACAGAUUGAAUGAAAAAAUCAAUUGAAACCGAACUCUAGAAAAUAUAAUUAUUAUAGUUGUAAUAACAAUAAGAUAAGUCAAUGUUAGUGUAAAUGUAAAUUUUCCAGUCUAACUAGUUACAUUAGUGUUUGAGAUAUUCUUCUAGCCCUUUAACAUAAACAAUUUUUUUUCGACGAUUCGUAGUAAAUUACAAUUACAAGUAUAAAUUUAAGCUCUACCCACAACUGUUUGUAAAAUUUUAAAAAUGAUACACUAUUUUGUACUUCAUAUUUAAAUGAAUUCAACUUAUAACUAUUACAUACGCUUUUUUAAAUAGUAACAGAGACCUUUUUUCUAUUUUUUAUUUUAUACUUAAUAAAUAUUUAAUUAAUCGUUAUUCAUGGUGAAAAAUUUAAACCACUCAGCCUUUUUCCCACUCAUAAGCGCCACACAAGAAAACAAUUAAAUUCACACAGGGACUCUUGGGAAAUCUCGUUGUUCUGAUGGCUUCUAACAAUAAAUGUUGAACGGUUUAUGGUAACAGAUAAUAAAAUACUUGAUUAGACUUACCUUGGCAAUUAAUAGACUAAUUCCAUUGGUUUCAACUGGUACCAUAUUUGGGUGACCAAAUUGACCAUUUAAGGUGACCGUAAUAUAUGGUAGCCAACAUAAAGCAUAGACAAUUAAAAAUGUGUAAUUUUUCCGUCUUAUAUUUCGGAAAAAUUACACAUUUUUCUAGAGUUCCGUUUCAAUUGAUUUUUUUAUUCACUCUGUAUACACACCCGGUUUCUGGUCAAAACAUACCGGCUGGUAUAUAAGAAAAACGACGGUAUAAUCCUAACUCUGAUAACAAUAUUCGAGUGGCCAUAGAUUUGCAAAAUUAAUUUUCACUGUCUGCUAACCUGGUAAGUCAUACUACACACGAGUACGUCUAAAAUUUUUAAAAAAAAACAUUUAUAUAUCAAAAUUAAUGUUCAUAAUAGGAGUCAUUUGAGCAUUGGGACUAUGGAACAUAACGAAUCAAGAAUUGUACAUUUGAAUAAUAUAAUAUCAUUACAAUCGUUUCUUUUCUAAUAAAUCAGUCGGCUAAAGUGAUUAAAAUUCCGAAACGUCGUUUCCGUGACCGACGUAAAUCCGUUGCGUUGACCGUUUUCUUCGUUUUUCGUACUUUGCUGUGAUUUUUAAAAGCCCCGUUCCUUAUUAAUGAGAUGUUUCCAUUCUGAACGUGUAAUCUCCAGUUUUGACAAAAUUGAGUAAGACAUCGAUUCUUAGAGUAAAACUGGCGACAAAUCGAUUGAGAUAAUUGGUUUUUGCCUAAACGUACUAUUUCGUAGCUUAAAACAUUACUUUUUUUUCAAAACGUUAUAAUAUAAUAAUUAAAUGCUUCGCUCUAAAAGAGCAAAAGCAAAAAUUAUGUGAUUAUUCCAUUCCAAUUUAUAUUAAUUAACUCAAAGUAUGUUUUUUUAUUUACCUAUUUGUUUUUAUAUUUUUUAGUUUUAAUUGUAAAUAUAUUUAAUAUAAAGCUAUUAAUUACACAAAGCACAUUAUAAUAUAAAGCGCAAGUUAGCCAUCAGCAAGAUAUUAAAAUGUACAAUUUUUUGUAUCAU